UUAUGGGUUCUAUGGGGGGUUGUGGGGUCUAUGGGGCCCACCUAUGGGGUCUAUGGGGCCCAGCCAUGGGGUCUAUGGGGCCACCUAUGGGUGCUAUGGGGGUCUAUGGGGUCUAUGGGGGGAUAUGGGGUCUAUGGGGCGAUAUGGGGUCUAUGGGGCCCACCCAUGGGGUCUAUGGGGCCACCAAUGGGUUCUAUGGGGGGAUAUGGGGUCUAUGAGGCUCACCCAUGGGUUCUAUGGGGGGAUAUGGGGUCUAUGGGGCCCACCCAUGGGUUCUAUGGGGGGAUAUGGGGUCUAUGGGGCCCACCAAUGGGUUCUAUGGGGCGAUCUGGGGUCUAUGGGGCCCACCCAUGGGGUCUAUGGGGCCACCAAUGGGUUCUAUGGGGCGAUAUGGGGUCUAUGGGGCCACCCAUGGGUGCUAUGGGGGGAUAUGGGGUCUAUGGGGCUCACCUAUGGGGUCUAUGGGCCCACCCAUGGGUGCUAUGGGGCGAUAUGGGGUCUAUGGGGCCCAUUUAUGGGUUCUAUGGGGGGAUAUGGGGUCAGUGGGGGGAUAUGGGGUCAAUGGGGCCCAGCCAUGGGUGCUAUGGGGGAAUAUGGGGUCUAUGGGGCCGAUCAAUGGGGGCUAUGGGGUCUAUGGGGCCCAGCCAUGGGUGCUAUGGAGGGAUAUGGGGUCAGUGGGGGGAUAUGGGGUCAAUGGGGCCCAGCCAUGGGUGCUAUGGGGGGAUAUGGGGUCUAUGGGGCCGAUCAAUGGGGGCUAUGGGGGGCUAUGGGGCUGGAGGACUUAGGGUUAGGGGUUAUGGGGCUGUUUUGGGGUUGGUUGUGGGGUUUUAGGGGUCUAUUUGGGGUUUUGGGGCCGUUUUUGGGGCUGUUUGUGUGGGUUUUUGGGGUCUAUUGGGGGUUUUAGGGCUGUUUUGGGGGGGUUUGGGGCUGUUUUGGGGCCGUUUGUGUGGUUUUUGGGUUCUUUUUGUGGUUUUGGGGCCAUUUUUGGGGCCGUUUGUGUGGUUUUUGGGGUCCGUUUGGGGUUUUUGGGGCCAUUUUCGGGGUCUUUUUGUGGUUUUGGGGCCAUUUUUGGGUCAAUUUCUGUGGUUUUUUGGUCCAUUUCUCAUUUAUCCCCUCUCCCAGGUUCCCGGCAGCUGGUUCUGACCCAUUUGGAGCCAACAUUGAGCUGCAGCCGAUCCCUGUUGGGCCGGGCAGUGAAGGAGCUGCUGCACCCACUGCUGGAUGGGGUGACAAGGAGGAAUAGGGUGACCCCAUAGGGACACAUAGAGACCCAUAGAUACCCCAUAGGGACCCAUAGAGACCCAUUGAGACCCCAUUGAGAGCCAUUGAGACCCCAUAGGGACACACAGGGACCUGCUGCACCCGCUGCUGGAUGGGGUGACAAGGAGGAAUAGGGUGACCCCAUAGAGACCCCAUAGAGAUCCACUGAGACCCAUAGAUACCCAUAGAGACCCAUAGAGACCCAUAGAGACCCAUAGAGACCCAUAGAGAUCCAUAGGAGCCCAUAGAGACCCAUAGAGACCCCAUAGAGACNCCCAUAGAGACCCAUAGAGACCCAUAGAGAUCCAUAGGAGCCCAUAGAGACCCAUAGAGACCCCAUAGAGACACAUAGACCUCAUAGAGACCCACUGAGAUCCAUUGAGACCCAUUGAGACCCAUAGAGACCCAUAGAUACCCAUAGAGACCCAUUGAGAUCCAUUGAGACCCCAUAGAGACCCAUAGAGACCCCAUAGAGACCCCAUUGAGACCCAUUGAGACCCCAUAGAGACCCAUAGAGACCCAUAGGGAUCCAUAGGAGCCCAUAGGGACACACAGGGACCUGCUGCACCCACUGCUGGAUGGGGUGACAAGGAGGAAUAGGGUGACCCCAUAGAGACCCCAUAGAGACCCAUAGAGACCCAUUG
ensembl:lncRNA